rnacentral:rRNA from 1 species
GGACCCGCACAAGUAGUGGAGCAUGUGGUUUAAUUCGAAGAUACGCGCAGAACCUUACCAACACUUGACAUGUUCGUCGCGACUUUAAGAGAUUAAAGUUUUCGGUUCGGCCGGACGAAACACAGGUGCUGCAUGGCUGUCGUCAGCUCGUGUCGUGAGAUGUUGGGUUAAGUCCCGCAACGAGCGCAACCCUCACUUUUAGUUGCCAUCAUUAAGUUGGGCACUCUGAAAGAACUGCCAGUGAUAAGCUGGAGGAAGGUAAGGAUGACGUCAAGUCCGCAUGGCCCUUAUGUCUGGGGCUACACACGUGCUACAAUGGUCGGUACAAAGGGAUGCAAUACCGUGGUGG